ACGACAGCAGAGUGGGGGUGCCAGGGGCUGGGGAGAGGGCAGGGGGGAGUGAGUGUUUAGUGGGGACAGAAUUUCUGUUGGGGAUGAUAAGAAAGUUUUGGGGAUAGGUAGAUGUGAUGGUCGUAGGACA